rnacentral:rRNA from 1 species
GACCUGCUCAGACGAACGCUGGCGGCGUGCUUAACACAUGCAAGUCGAACGAUGAACCACUUCGGUGGGGAUUAGUGGCGAACGGGUGAGUAACACGUGGGCAAUCUGCCCUGCACUCUGGGACAAGCCCUGGAAACGGGGUCUAAUACCGGAUACUGAUCAUCUUGGGCAUCCUUGGUGAUCGAAAGCUCCGGCGGUGCAGGAUGAGCCCGCGGCCUAUCAGCUUGUUGGUGAGGUAAUGGCUCACCAAGGCGACGACGGGUAGCCGGCCUGAGAGGGCGACCGGCCACACUGGGACUGAGACACGGCCCAGACUCCUNACGGGAGGCAGCAGUGGGGAAUAUUGCACAAUGGGCGAAAGCCUGAUGCAGCGACGCCGCGUGAGGGAUGACGGCCUUCGGGUUGUAACCUCUUUCAGCAGGGAAGAAGCGAAAGUGACGGUACCUGCAGA